rnacentral:lncRNA from 1 species
UAAAAAAAAAAUAGUGCCAUUUUUACGGUUCCUGAUAUUGUUUUGGGAGUCUCCUACAAUAGGAUCACAUGCAUGCAAGGUAAAAAUAAUAGCAUUUAAUAUCACCUAAUUUUCCAGCGAUUCCUGCAAUUAUGCAAAUAUGCGAUUCAAAUUACUAAUGACUCAUUUCAGAAUCGAUUCUUUAUUUUGGGAGACAAUAACUUUAUUUAUCGUGCACUUUCAGCUUUACAACUUUGCAGAUCGUUUACAUUCACAUUCAGUUACAUUACACACUGCAUGAAAGGCAAUACUGGAAAUGGCAUAAUAGGGGCACUUUAAAGGCUGUGUAAAUAUGGAUUUCAGCUAAUACAUAUGCAAAUGUAACUGCAUUAGGCUGAGCUGCUGUUAUUUUACAGAAUGCUUGACUGCUCAUCUCUAUACCGAGAACUGUGCAAUCUAUCACUUAGCUUUGAAUUUAACAGGAGAGUGAUGUCACAUCUGACCAAUCAGAGCAUCAUCUUGCUGUUACAGGGCUGGACGGUCACAUCUGUGACUCACUCAGAGAGGUGGGUGCUCUGAUGGAUCCCCGGAGAUGCUGCUAAUGCUGAUUUCCUCUGAGCACAACAGAGCCAGAAACAACUCUUAUCAGUUGUCUGUUGUUUGCCCAAAACCAAAGGCAGGUUUGAGAGGCCGCACGAUAAGUUAAACAUUUUUACAAUUGAGAGGCCGCACGAUAAGUUAAACAUUUUUACAACGUUUGGAUCCUUCUAACCUCUGAAGUCCAGUUCAGUGCAGCGAACCGAAAACAAAUGGUUGAACCAUUGUUUAAAAAGCCUGCUGGUUUUCAGUUGGCUCAAGCAGUGGUGUGUUAUAAUGCGGAUAAUGAACGUAGGAAGCAGCGAGUGUGUGUUUAAAGCACAGAGUGUCUACGUGAAUCAAUAUGGCUGAACUGGCCCAUCUCAGUUUCCAUGGCAACGGCCUCUACAUCCCCCGAGGGCUGCAGUGGGGGCGGGGCAGCGCCUCUCUCUCAGGCAGGACAGCGGGAACAGCAGCAUGGCACAAUAACCCACUUCACUCUCUGGCAUGGGGAAGCACCUGGAUAUUCCCAUGCUUUUUAUGCUCACCCGAGGGCUUCCCCGCUCCGCUCUCACAAAGACAGCAGCCACUCCCAGCCCUUGAUGGAGACUCCGAUGGAAGACACGAGAGCGAGCCGGUGACACCGGCAGAUGAAUCUGGCUCUUUUGUUCUGCAGUGUUGAGGUGCGGAGAGGCUUUUGUGAUGUUAAUCAUUCAUUGUGAAUCUCAGCGCCUGAGUGAUGCUGGCUGGACUUUCCCCGGCUCUCACACCAGCUCUAUGGCUUCUAUCCUAAAGACUGUGUCAGGCACCAGGAAGGGAAUCAGAGGGAGGCUACAGUACCUGCCUUCAGAGAGACACAGAGCUCCUCUCACACAAAACCUGGAACAAUGGAUUCAGUGGAAUGGAGCCUUGUACAUAUAGCCUGCAGUGUAAUAGUCCUGUACUUGAAAUGUUUCAUUAAUGAAACACUAUUACUAGUAUAAUAUAAUAUAAUAUAAUA